rnacentral:rRNA from 1 species
AUUGAACGCUGGCGGCAGGCCUAACACAUGCAAGUCGAGCGAGCGGGGGAGGGGGGAGUACUGUCUGGGGAUCUGCCUGCUGGCGGGGGGUAACUAAUGGAAACGGUAGCUAAUACCGCAUACCAUCAGAUGAACCCAUAGGGGAUUAGCUAGUAGGUAAGGUAAGGGCGUACCUAGGCGACGAUCCCUAGCUGGUCUGAGAGGAUGAUCAGCCACACGGGGACGGAGACACGGCCCAUACUCCGACGGGAGGCAGCAGUGGGGAAUAGUGCACAAUGGGGGCAAGCCUGAUGCAGCCAUGCCGCGUGUAUGAAGAAGGCCUUCGGGUUGUAAAGUACUUUCAGUCGGGAGGCGUUACCGACAGAAGAAGCACCGGCUAACUCCGUGCCAGCAGCCGCGGUAAUAC